rnacentral:rRNA from 1 species
GGCGAUCAGAUACCGCCCUAGUUCUGACCGUAAACGAUGCCAACUAGCGAUCCGCCAGCGGAUUCAUUCGCCCUGGUGGGGAGCUUCCCGGAAACGAAAGUCUUCCGGUUCCGGGGGAAGUAUGGUUGCAAAGCUGAAACUUAAAGGAAUUGACGGAAGGGCACCACCAGGAGUGGAGCCUGCGGCUUAAUUUGACUCAACACGGGGAAACUCACCCGGCCCGGACACCGUAAGGAUUGACAAAUUGAUAGCUUUUUCAUGAUUCGGUGGAUGGUGGUGCAUGGCCGUUCUUAGUUCGUGGAGCGAUUUGUCUGGUUUAUUCCGAUAACGAGCGAGACUCUGGCCUACUAAAUAGUUGACGCAUUGCCACUGUGCGCACAACUUCUUAGAGGGAUUUUCGGUGUUUUCAACCGCACGAAAUUGAGCAAUAACAGGUCUGUGAUGCCCUUAGAUGUCCGGGGCUGCACGCGCGCUACACUGGCAAACGCAACGUGCCUGUCCUGCCCCGAAAGGAGCGGGUAAACCCCUGAAAUUUUGCCGUGAUUGGGAUCGGACAUUGCAACUAUUGUCCGUGAACGAGGAAUUCCUUGUAGGGGCGAGUCAUCAACUCGUCCCGAAUACGUCCCUGCCCUUGUA